rnacentral:rRNA from 1 species
UAUCCUGUCUGAAUAUGGGGGGACCAUCCUCCAAGGCUAAAUACUCCUGACUGACCGAUAGUGAACCAGUACCGUGAGGGAAAGGCGAAAAGAACCCCGGCGAGGGGAGUGAAAAAGAACCUGAAACCGUGUACGUACAAGCAGUGGGAGCCUCUUAAUGGGGUGACUGCGUACCUUUUGUAUAAUGGGUCAGCGACUUAUAUUCUGUAGCAAGGUUAACCGAAUAGGGGAGCCGAAGGGAAACCGAGUCUUAACUGGGCGUUAAGUUGCAGGGUAUAGACCCGAAACCCGGUGAUCUAGCCAUGGGCAGGUUGAAGGUUGGGUAACACUAACUGGAGGACCGAACCGACUAAUGUUGAAAAAUUAGCGGAUGACUUGUGGCUGGGGGUGAAAGGCCAAUCAAACCGGGAGAUAGCUGGUUCUCCCCGAAAGCUAUUUAGGUAGCGCCUCGUGAAUUCAUCUCCGGGGGUAGAGCACUGUUUCGGCAAGGGGGUCAUCCCGACUUACCAACCCGAUGCAAACUGCGAAUACCGGAGAAUGUUAUCACGGGAGACACACGGCGGGUGCUAACGUCCGUCGUGAAGAGGGAAACAACCCAGACCGCCAGCUAAGGUCCCAAAGUCAUGGUUAAGUGGGAAACGAUGUGGGAAGGCCCAGACAGCCAGGAUGUUGGCUUAGAAGCAGCCAUCAUUUAAAGAAAGCGUAAUAGCUCACUGGUCGAGUCGGCCUGCGCGGAAGAUGUAACGGGGCUAAACCAUGCACCGAAGCUGCGGCAGCGACACUAUGUGUUGUUGGGUAGGGGAGCGUUCUGUAAGCCUGUGAAGGUGUACUGUGAGGUAUGCUGGAGGUAUCAGAAGUGCGAAUGCUGACAUAAGUAACGAUAAAGCGGGUGAAAAGCCCGCUCGCCGGAAGACCAAGGGUUCCUGUCCAACGUUAAUCGGGGCAGGGUGAGUCGACCCCUAAGGCGAGGCCGAAAGGCGUAGUCGAUGGGAAACAGGUUAAUAUUCCUGUACUUGGUGUUACUGCGAAGGGGGGACGGAGAAGGCUAUGUUGGCCGGGCGACGGUUGUCCCGGUUUAAGCGUGUAGGCUGGUUUUCCAGGCAAAUCCGGAAAACCAAGGCUGAGGCGUGAUGACGAGGCACUACGGUGCUGAAGCGACAAAUGCCCUGCUUCCAGGAAAAGCCUCUAAGCAUCAGGUAACAUUAAAUCGUACCCCAAACCGACACAGGUGGUCAGGUAGAGAAUACCAAGGCGCUUGAGAGAACUCGGGUGAAGGAACUAGGCAAAAUGGUGCCGUAACUUCGGGAGAAGGCACGCUGAUAUGUAGGUGAAGCGACUUGCUCGUGGAGCUGAAAUCAGUCGAAGAUACCAGCUGGCUGCAACUGUUUAUUAAAAACACAGCACUGUGCAAACACGAAAGUGGACGUAUACGGUGUGACGCCUGCCCGGUGCCGGAAGGUUAAUUGAUGGGGUUAGCGGUAACGCGAAGCUCUUGAUCGAAGCCCCGGUAAACGGCGGCCGUAACUAUAACGGUCCUAAGGUAGCGAAAUUCCUUGUCGGGUAAGUUCCGACCUGCACGAAUGGCGUAAUGAUGGCCAGGCUGUCUCCACCCGAGACUCAGUGAAAUUGAACUCGCUGUGAAGAUGCAGUGUACCCGCGGCAAGACGGAAAGACCCCGUGAACCUUUACUAUAGCUUGACACUGAACAUUGAGCCUUGAUGUGUAGGAUAGGUGGGAGGCUUUGAAGUGUGGACGCCAGUCUGCAUGGAGCCGACCUUGAAAUACCACCCUUUAAUGUUUGAUGUUCUAACGUGGGCCCCUUACCGGGGUUGCGGACAGUGUCUGGUGGGUAGUUUGACUGGGGCGGUCUCCUCCUAAAGAGUAACGGAGGAGCACGAAGGUUGGCUAAUCCUGGUCGGACAUCAGGAGGUUAGUGCAAUGGCAUAAGCCAGCUUGACUGCGAGCGUGACGGCGCGAGCAGGUGCGAAAGCAGGUCAUAGUGAUCCGGUGGUUCUGAAUGGAAGGGCCAUCGCUCAACGGAUAAAAGGUACUCCGGGGAUAACAGGCUGAUACCGCCCAAGAGUUCAUAUCGACGGCGGUGUUUGGCACCUCGAUGUCGGCUCAUCACAUCCUGGGGCUGAAGUAGGUCCCAAGGGUAUGGCUGUUCGCCAUUUAAAGUGGUACGCGAGCUGGGUUUAGAACGUCGUGAGACAGUUCGGUCCCUAUCUGCCGUGGGCGCUGGAGAACUGAGGGGGGCUGCUCCUAGUACGAGAGGACCGGAGUGGACGCAUCACUGGUGUUCGGGUUGUCAUGCCAAUGGCACUGCCCGGUAGCUAAAUGCGGAAGAGAUAAGUGCUGAAAGCAUCUAAGCACGAAACUUGCCCCGAGAUGAGUUCUCCCUGACUCCUUGAGAGUCCUGAAGGAACGUUGAAGACGACGACGUUGAUAGGCCGGGUGUGUAAGCGCAGCGAUGCGUUGAGCUAACCGGUACUAAUGAACCGUGAGGCUUAACCUUACAACGCCGAAG